rnacentral:pre_miRNA from 1 species
GACGAGACAGUUGUGUUCGACAAGGGUAUUCUUGGGUGAGUAACACGGAACAUACGAACUGUUAUUGCUUGAGAAUACACGUGUCGGAGACGAAUUGGCGCCGG